rnacentral:rRNA from 1 species
GCACGAAAGGCGUAACGAUUUGGGCACUGUCUCAACGAGAGACUCGGUGAAAUCAUAGUACCUGUGAAGAUGCAGGUUACCCGCGACAGGACGGAAAGACCCCGUGGAGCUUUACUGUAGUCUGAUAUUGAAAUUCGGCACAGCUUGUACAGGAUAGGUAGGAGCCUUUGAUACGUGAGCGCUAGCUUACGUGGAGGCGUUGGUGGGAUACUACCCUCGCUGUGUUGGAUUUCUAACCCGCACCAUUGAUCAUGGUGGGAGACAGUGUCAGAUGGACAGUUUGACUGGGGCGGUCGCCUCCUAAAGAGUAACGGAGGCGCUCAAAGGUUCCCUCAGAAUGGUUGGAAAUCAUUCACAGAGUGUAAAGGCAUAAGGGAGCUUGACUGCGAGACUUACAAGUCGAGCAGGGUCGAAAGACGGACUUAGUGAUCCGGUGGUUCCGCAUGGAAGGGCCAUCGCUCAACGGAUAAAAGCUACCCCGGGGAUAACAGGCUUAUCUCCCCCAAGAGUUCACAUCGACGGGGAGGUUUGGCACCUCGAUGUCGGCUCAUCGCAUCCUGGGGCUGUAGUCGGUCCCAAGGGUUGGGCUGUUCGCCCAUUAAAGCGGUACGCGAGCUGGGUUCAGAACGUCGUGAGACAGUUCGGUCCCUAUCCGUCGUGGGCGUAGGAAAUUUGAGAGGAGCUGUCCUUAGUACGAGAGGACCGGGAUGGACAUACCUCUGGUGUACCAGUUGUCGUGCCAACGGCAUCGCUGGGUAGCUAUGUAUGGACGGGAUAAGUGCUGAAAGCAUCUAAGCAUGAAGCCCCCCUCAAGAUGAGAUUUCCCAACUUCGGUUAUAAGAUCCCUCAAAGAUGAUGAGGUUAAUAGGUUCGAGGUGGAAGCAUAGUGAUAUGUGGAGCUGACGAAUACUAAUCGAUCGAAGACUUAAUCAA